GGAAGGGUACAGCUCAGUGGUAGAGCGCAUGCUUAGCAUGCACGAGGUCCUGGGUUCAAUCUCCAGUACCUCCU
rnacentral:tRNA from 1 species